rnacentral:rRNA from 1 species
AUUUUUGGACAAUGAGGGAAACCCUGAGCCAGUCAUCCCGUGUGUAUGAUGUAGGCCUUCGUUCUGUUAAGUAUUUUUUGCAGAGAAGAAUAGGUCUCUCCUAAUACGAUAUACUUCUUCCGGUAUCUGCAGUAUAAGCACCGGUUUACUACAUGUCCGCAGCUGCGUUAAUACGUGUGGUGCAAACGUUCAUCGGAAUUACUGGGCGUAAAGAGUGUGUAGGCGGUUCGGAAAGAAAAAUGUGAAAUACAGAGGGGCAACCUUGGAACUGCAUUUUUAACUGUCGAGAUAGAGUAUAUCAGAGGGAGGUAGAAUGCCACGUGUAGCAGUGAAAUGCGUAGAUAUGUGGAGGAAUACCGAUUGAGAAGGCAGCCCCCGGGGAUAAUACUGACGCUCAGACACGAAAGCGUGGGGAGCAAAC